GGAUGCAUGAUGGUGACUGAAGAUGACCUGUGUUGAAGCACAAACCAGCUGAACAUGCUGUUAACAGUGAAGUUUGACUGACACGAGCUGUCCAGGCGUUAUGCCCAUGAUCAUCAUUUCACUUCGAGAUAUUGAAGGAGAAGAUUUCCCUCAACGACUGCUAUCUAACUACACAAGCGACCACCGAAAAAAGGAUUCCGCCGAUCCCAGUUCAGCUCUUUGACAAUCUCAACGUAGAAAAUUGUCAGGGAUGUUUUUGGAAGAGGUAAUGGAAAGUCCAUACAUCCGAGAGAUGUGGACCUCCCACUGCUAAGAGGUUGGGUGCAGAGCUCCACAGCUGGAGCAACCGAGCUGCAACAGUAACACACACGCGUGCACACACAAACAAACAAAUAAAAAUCCUUCUUUAGAUACAUUUUAAUUAUUAUAUUGCUCAUAAAUACAUUUUAAAUCUUUUAUUGUUUUUUACUUUAAAGAUAAUCUUCCUUUUCCCUUUACAAAAAAUAACAACAAAAUCCUCCUUUGAAUGUACUUUAGAUACAUUUUCUCUCUUUUAUUACUUGAUAAAUAUGUUUUAAGUCUUUCAUUGCUUUUUACUUUAUAGAUAAGCUUCCUUUUCCCUUUACAAAAAAAAAAAAAAACUUUAGGAGGGGUCUCCUGACAGUUUUCCAUUCAAACAGAUCUUUUUUUCCGUGUGUCAGUGUGAUGGAUUAACAUGUCUAAAACAGUAUUAACUCAACGUAUUAUAAAUAUGCUUAUACGCCACAAACAGGUCAGGAGGACUCCAGUCAACAACUCUUUAAUGUGUUGUCAGGCAUGUAUUAAAUGUGUGUAUUAAAAUGUGUUUUAAAACUAGUUCACAAAUACAAGAAACAAACUGAAAAGAGCCACUAUGAAAACAGGAAGCAAAAAUGUGAAUGGAAAAUUGUCAAAGGGUGAGGAUUAGGGUGGGUUAGACCCUCCUAAAGUCCUUUCCUUAUGUUCAACACUAUAGGCGACUGUUGUUAUAAACCUGAAAUAAGUUUUUAAUUGAUUCAUUAGCAGCAGAGGAAAUGUCACAUUAGUACUUCAAAUAAUUUGGUAUAGCAUCAGAAGCACCAGUACAACAGUAAGACUGUUGUAAAAACAAAAAAGAAAAUAUGUUAACUUAAAAAAUAAACAUUUGUCCAUUUGUAAAAUUAGUGCUACCAAUGGUAGUAGUAGUAGUAGUAGUAGUAGUAUAAUUAGUGGCAGUACUAAUAAUUUGGUUGUAGCAUUAUAUGCAGCCGAUAAAUGCACCAAUAAAACAACAAUCUAAAAGAUCUAAAAACUUUAAGAAUAUGAAAAGUAUCAACAAUAGUACAGCUGUAACACUUUAGAAUCUUUCUAGUAACUCAUUUAAUUUGACAAUGUCUUUCUGGCCUGGAAACAAUAACUUCAGGUUUCUCUUAUGGGUCUUCUUUCUAAGUUUGGUCCAUAUUAUUUCUUCUGUCAUGGUGUGAACUUGUCGUGUUUCAAUAUCACAUCGGGUGAUCAGCAAAGUGUCAUUUAUCUUGUCUCACAGUGACUUUGAAAAAGAAGGAAUAGUCUUUAAGAUGGUCUGAAGGCAGUGCUCCAUUCAAAUCCUUCUUUCUUAUUAAACACAAGUCAGUGUGUAGUAAAAAUGAUUGAAAAACAUUCUUCCCAAAGAUUUCUUAGUCAAAUUAAAUGUAAGGUCAGUUGUUUAUAUAUUGCAUUCUAAGUUUUGUAUGGAACAUUGUCACAGGUGUAGGAUUGGGGAGGAUCAGACCCUCUUAAAGACCCUUCGCUUCUGUUACUGAGUCUUGUAACAAGUUCACCACUGGGAGCAGACACUUCAAUUUGAUUUCUCUUUCUCUUUCUCUCUGUAGUCAAUCUUUCAUUUUUUCAUAGUAUUACUGUAAGCCUUUUGACUAUGUGAUACCUUCUACACUGCUUUUGAAAAAAUGUGCACAUCUUCAAAAAAAAAGUUACGGUAAGUAUUCACACUCACUUUCCAACUUUCAUUCCACCUUUUAUUUCCUCAUACAGUUUCCUUAAAAUAAGAACAGACAUUAAAAACAAGUCUAAGUAAAAGUGAAAUGAUAUUCUUUUACCAAUGUAAACAAAAAAUGUCUGUUAGAAUAUACAAAUGAUUUAAGUCGUAGUAAGUACUGAAAUCUCUCUAAUGUCCAAUAAAUUUGUCUAAUCAGGCCAGGUUGUACUGACUUAAUAACAGAGGUAAGUGUCUUCAGGAGGGUCUGAUGACAAUUUUCCAUUCAAACUGAUUUUUCUUACAGUUCACGUGUCAGUAGAAAGAAUGAACUUUUCUGAAAUAUUUGUAGCUAUGAAUAAACUGAGCAUGGUGACCAAAACGUAUUAGAAGGUAUUUGUUUGACACAAGGAGGUCUGGCGUUCACAGUUUCAAAGUUGUCUUAUAUCACACAUUUAUCCAGACCUUAAGAUGAGCUUUAAAAUCUCCGGCGCUCUGUUGACUGAAAC
ensembl:lncRNA